rnacentral:rRNA from 1 species
CCUACGGGAGGCAGCAGUGGGGAAUAUUGCACAAUGGGGGAAACCCUGAUGCAGCAACGCCGCGUGAGUGAUGAAGGUCUUCGGAUUGUAAAACUCUGUCUUUGGGGACGAUAAUGACGGUACCAAAGGAGGAAGCCACGGCUAACUACGUGCCAGCAGCCGCGGUAAUGAGUA